rnacentral:rRNA from 1 species
CCCUGGCAGUCAGAGGCGAUGAAGGGCGUGCUAAUCUGCGAUAAGCGCCGGUAAGGUGAUAUGAACCGUUAUAACCGGCGAUACCCGAAUGGGGAAACCCAGUGUGACUCGUCACACUAUCAUUAACUGAAUCCAUAGGUUAAUGAGGCGAACCGGGGGAACUGAAACAUCUAAGUACCCCGAGGAAAAGAAAUCAACCGAGAUUCCCCCAGUAGCGGCGAGCGAACGGGGAGGAGCCCAGAGCCUGAAUCAGCAUGUGUGUUAGUGGAAGCGUCUGGAAAGGCGCGCGAUACAGGGUGACAGCCCCGUACACAAAAGCGCAUGUGCUGUGAGCUCGAUGAGUAGGGCGGGACACGUGGUAUCCUGUCUGAAUAUGGGGGGACCAUCCUCCAAGGCUAAAUACUCCUGACUGACCGAUAGUGAACCAGUACCGUGAGGGAAAGGCGAAAAGAACCCCGGCGAGGGGAGUGAAAAAGAACCUGAAACCGUGUACGUACAAGCAGUGGGAGCACAGGUUUACCUGUGUGACUGCGUACCUUUUGUAUAAUGGGUCAGCGACUUAUAUUCUGUAGCAAGGUUAACCGAAUAGGGGAGCCGGAGGGAAACCGAGUCUUAAUUGGGCGUUAAGUUGCAGGGUAUAGACCCGAAACCCGGUGAUCUAGCCAUGGGCAGGUUGAAGGUUGGGUAACACUAACUGGAGGACCGAACCGACUAAUGUUGAAAAAUUAGCGGAUGACCUGUGGCUGGGGGUGAAAGGCCAAUCAAACCGGGAGAUAGCUGGUUCUCCCCGAAAGCUAUUUAGGUAGCGCCUCGUGAAUUCAUCUCCGGGGGUAGAGCACUGUUUCGGCUAGGGGGCCAUCCCGGCUUACCAACCCGAUGCAAACUGCGAAUACCGGAGAAUGUUAUCACGGGAGACACACGGCGGGUGCUAACGUCCGUCGUGAAGAGGGAAACAACCCAGACCGCCAGCUAAGGUCCCAAAGUCAUGGUUAAGUGGGAAACGAUGUGGGAAGGCCCAGACAGCCAGGAUGUUGGCUUAGAAGCAGCCAUCAUUUAAAGAAAGCGUAAUAGCUCACUGGUCGAGUCGGCCUGCGCGGAAGAUGUAACGGGGCUAAACCAUG